UAUGAGAGUUUGAUCCUGGCUCAGGACGAACGCUGGCGGCGUGCCUAAUACAUGCAAGUCGUACGCUUCUUUUUCCACCGGAGCUUGCUCCACCGGAAAAAGAAGAGUGGCGAACGGGUGAGUAACACGUGGGUAACCUGCCCAUCAGAAGGGGAUAACACUUGGAAACAGGUGCUAAUACCGUAUAACAAUCGAAACCGCAUGGUUUUGAUUUGAAAGGCGCUUUCGGGUGUCGCUGAUGGAUGGACCCGCGGUGCAUUAGCUAGUUGGUGAGGUAACGGCUCACCAAGGCUACGAUGCAUAGCCGACCUGAGAGGGUGAUCGGCCACAUUGGGACUGAGACACGGCCCAAACUCCUACGGGAGGCAGCAGUAGGGAAUCUUCGGCAAUGGACGAAAGUCUGACCGAGCAACGCCGCGUGAGUGAAGAAGGUUUUCGGAUCGUAAAACUCUGUUGUUAGAGAAGAACAAGGAUGAGAGUAACUGUUCAUCCCUUGACGGUAUCUAACCAGAAAGCCACGGCUAACUACGUGCCAGCAGCCGCGGUAAUACGUAGGUGGCAAGCGUUGUCCGGAUUUAUUGGGCGUAAAGCGAGCGCAGGCGGUUUCUUAAGUCUGAUGUGAAAGCCCCCGGCUCAACCGGGGAGGGUCAUUGGAAACUGGGAGACUUGAGUGCAGAAGAGGAGAGUGGAAUUCCAUGUGUAGCGGUGAAAUGCGUAGAUAUAUGGAGGAACACCAGUGGCGAAGGCGGCUCUCUGGUCUGUAACUGACGCUGAGGCUCGAAAGCGUGGGGAGCAAACAGGAUUAGAUACCCUGGUAGUCCACGCCGUAAACGAUGAGUGCUAAGUGUUGGAGGGUUUCCGCCCUUCAGUGCUGCAGCUAACGCAUUAAGCACUCCGCCUGGGGAGUACGACCGCAAGGUUGAAACUCAAAGGAAUUGACGGGGGCCCGCACAAGCGGUGGAGCAUGUGGUUUAAUUCGAAGCAACGCGAAGAACCUUACCAGGUCUUGACAUCCUUUGACCACUCUAGAGAUAGAGCUUCCCCUUCGGGGGCAAAGUGACAGGUGGUGCAUGGUUGUCGUCAGCUCGUGUCGUGAGAUGUUGGGUUAAGUCCCGCAACGAGCGCAACCCUUAUUGUUAGUUGCCAUCAUUUAGUUGGGCACUCUAGCAAGACUGCCGGUGACAAACCGGAGGAAGGUGGGGAUGACGUCAAAUCAUCAUGCCCCUUAUGACCUGGGCUACACACGUGCUACAAUGGGAAGUACAACGAGUCGCGAAGUCGCGAGGCUAAGCUAAUCUCUUAAAGCUUCUCUCAGUUCGGAUUGUAGGCUGCAACUCGCCUACAUGAAGCCGGAAUCGCUAGUAAUCGCGGAUCAGCACGCCGCGGUGAAUACGUUCCCGGGCCUUGUACACACCGCCCGUCACACCACGAGAGUUUGUAACACCCGAAGUCGGUGAGGUAACCUUUUGGAGCCAGCCGCCUAAGGUGGGAUAGAUGAUUGGGGUGAAGUCGUAACAAGGUAGCCGUAUCGGAAGGUGCGGCUGGAUCACCUCCUUUCUAAGGAA
rnacentral:rRNA from 1 species